GAUGAACGCUGGCGGCGUGCCUAAUACAUGCAAGUCGAGCGAACAGACGAGGAGCUUGCUCCUCUGACGUUAGCGGCGGACGGGUGAGUAACACGUGGAUAACCUACCUAUAAGACUGGGAUAACUUCGGGAAACCGGAGCUAAUACCGGAUAAUAUAUUGAACCGCAUGGUUCAAUAGUGAAAGACGGUUUUGCUGUCACUUAUAGAUGGAUCCGCGCCGCAUUAGCUAGUUGGUAAGGUAACGGCUUACCAAGGCAACGAUGCGUAGCCGACCUGAGAGGGUGAUCGGCCACACUGGAACUGAGACGCGGUCCAGACUCGGACGGGAGGCAGCAGUAGGGAAUCUUCCGCAAUGGGCGAAAGCCUGACGGAGCAACGCCGCGUGAGUGAUGAAGGUCUUCGGAUCGUAAAACUCUGUUAUUAGGGAAGAACAAAUGUGUAAGUAACUAUGCACGUCUUGACGGUACCUAAUCAGAAAGCCACGGCUAACUACGU
rnacentral:rRNA from 1 species